rnacentral:rRNA from 1 species
UACGUAGGGUGCGAGCGUUAAUCGGAAUUACUGGGCGUAAAGCGUGCGUAGACGGUAGCGUAAGUCAGAUGUGAAAGCCCCGGGCUCAACUCCGGAACUGCCAUUGAAACUGUAAGACUUGAGGACGAGAGAGGUGAGUGGAAUUCCCAGUGUAGAGGUGAAAUUCGUAGAUAUUGGGAAGAACACCAGUGGCGAAGGCGGCUCACUGGCUCAUAUCUGACGCUCAGGCGCGACAGCGUGGGGAUCAAACAGG